rnacentral:rRNA from 1 species
GACGAACGCUGGCGGCGUGCCUAAUCCAUGCAAGUUGAGCGCUGAAGGUUGGUACUUGUACCAACUGGAUGAGCAGCGAACGGGUGAGUAACGCGUGGGGAAUCUGCCUUUGAGCGGGGGACAACAUUUGGAAACGAAUGCUAAUACCGCAUAAAAACUUUAAACACAAGUUUUAAGUUUGAAAGAUGCAAUUGCAUCACUCAAAGAUGAUCCCGCGUUGUAUUAGCUAGUUGGUGAGGUAAAGGCUCACCAAGGCGAUGAUACAUAGCCGACCUGAGAGGGUGAUCGGCCACAUUGGGACUGAGACACGGCCCAAACUCCUACGGGAGGCAGCAGUAGGGAAUCUUCGGCAAUGGACGAAAGUCUGACCGAGCAACGCCGCGUGAGUGAAGAAGGUUUUCGGAUCGUAAAACUCUGUUGGUAGAGAAGAACGUUGGUGAGAGUGGAAAGCUCAUCAAGUGACGGUAACUACCCAGAAAGGGACGGCUAACUACGUG